rnacentral:rRNA from 1 species
UACAGGGGGGGCAAGCGUUGUUCGGAAUUACUGGGCGUAAAGGGCUCGUAGGCGGCCAACUAAGUCACACGUGAAAUCCCCAGGCUUAACCUGGGAACUGCGUGUGAUACUGGAUGGCUUGAAUUCGGGAGAGGGAUGCAGAAUUCCAGGUGUAGCGGUGAAAUGCGUAGAGAUCGGGAGGAACACCGGUGGCGAAGGCGGGACUCUGGGCCUACCCUGACGCUGAGGCGCGAAGGCGUGGGGAGCAAACGGG